UCGCCUGUUUAUCAAAAACAUCUCUUCUUGGAAUUAAUUUGAAGUAUUACCUGCCCGCUGGAGUUUUUGAAGGGCCGCGGUAUAUUGACCGUGCAAAGGUAGCAUAAUCAUUAGUCUUUUAAUUGAGGGCUGGAAUGAAUGGUUUGACGAGGCACAUACUGUCCCUUUGAAAUGUUAUUGAAUUUGGUUUUUAAGUUAAAACACUUAAAUGUUUGUAUGGGACGAGAAGACCCUAUAGAGUUUUACCGGUAUAUAAUUGUUUAUGUUUGUUGAUUUUGAAGAUGAAUUAUUUUCUGGUUUGGUUGGGGUGAUUAGAGGAUAUAGUAAACUCCUCUUUAUUGGUGAUAUAUUUAUUUAUAUUUAAAUGAUCCAUUUAUUUUGAUUAUAAGAUUAAAUUACCUUAGGGAUAACAGCGUAAUUUCCUUUGAGAGUUCUUAUCGACAAGGGAGUUUGCGACCUCGAUGUUGGAUUAAGAUAAAUUUUUGGUGUAGGUGCUAAAAAGGUAGGUCUGUUCGACCUUUAAAAUCUUACAUGAUCUGAGUUCAAACCGGAGA
rnacentral:rRNA from 1 species